rnacentral:rRNA from 1 species
CCUACGGUAGGCAGCAGUGAGGAAUAUUGGUCAAUGGGCGCGAGCCUGAACCAGCCAAGUCGCGUGAGGGAUGAAGGUUCUAUGGAUCGUAAACCUCUUUUAUAGGGGAAUAAAGUGUGGGACGUGUCCUAUUUUGUAUGUACCUUAUGAAUAAGGAUCGGCUAACUCCGUGCCAGCAGCCGCGGUAAUACGGAGGAUACGAGCGUUAUCCGGAUUUGUUGGGUUUAACGGGUGCGUAGGCGGCAUGUUAAGUCAGCGGUGAAAGUCUGUGGCUCAACCAUAGAAUUGCCGUUGAAACUGGGGGGCUUGAGUAUGUUUGAGGCAGGCGGAAUGCGUGGUGUAGCGGUGAAAUGCUUAGAUAUCACACAGAACCCCGAUUGCGAAGGCAGCCUGCCAAGCCAUGACUGACGCUGAUGCACGAAAGCGUGGGGAGCAAACAGGAUUAGAUACCCUUGUAGUC